GGUGUUAUGGCAAAGCUGUAAUGUCUUUACUCUCAGAACCGUUAGUUUUGAAAGUGUAUGUAAUAUUUCCUGAAUAUUUCACAUUGCCUUUUUCUCAAGAUUGGAAAGAUAGUUAGUGACCAGGAAUUUGUCCCUAAAGAACAAAAGUUGCAGGUUGAUAAUACUGAUAAGGACAAGAGAUAUGAAGUGUAUUUUUAGCAAAUUCUUGAUAGUCAAAGUAGAUUUGGGUAGUUAUUUGUUUUUAUUGUUUUAGAUUAAAAAAAAACUCUUGUAGGAGAAAAUUCAUGAUGAAUGAGAGAAAUUAAACAAGUGAUAAUAUCAAGAUUAAAUU
rnacentral:lncRNA from 1 species